rnacentral:lncRNA from 1 species
UAGGAGUUCAAGGACACCUCCUUCUACUGAUCUCAAGGAAAAAUUCUGUCCUUUGUAGAUCCAGAUUUCGUUCUCCUCCUCUGAAGAGUGAAAAAGUCGAGCUGGAGUGAGGAUGGGAUGAAAGAGCUGGAAAUAGCAGCUGUGUGCCAAGUGAUAGAGUUCCUCAUUUGGGCUGCCGUGUGCCGGCCUGUGUCCGAGCCCUCGCCGGGAUCCGGCUGCCUGCUGGCAGAGGUUGAAUCCUUCCUGAGAACAAAUCACUUUAUUGUUCCUGGCUGCUCAUGCACUGCCUUUUGGGAGCGUGGUUCAUGUUGUUGCAAGAAGCAGAACCAUUAGCACCAAAUGAAUUCUUUGUCAAGCAGCACAGUCUCCCUGAGAUUUUUACUCUUUUCUCCAGCAGCCUUCUCCCAGGAUCAAAUUUGCAGUAUUGUAGGGGACUGGCUCCUGUGAGAUGGAAACAUCUCCUGUGUUUCAACCCAGCCCAGCUUCCCCCAGGCAGCUCUGAGGAGGCAGCUACUUUUCUACAAGCACUUGCUCCUUGCUGGCAGCAGGGGAUUGUUUAAACUCCUGCACAAAGCUGGUAAGUUUUGCUCAGGUGCCUAAUGUAAGUUUCAGAGGGAACCUCAGUACAUUCAUUAAAAUCUGUCCCUUUAUGCUGCAGCAGUGGCCUCUCUGAAGAGUGUCCUUGUACUUUCCUGUCUCUGCUUCCUUCCCUCUCUCUUUUUGUUUUGUUUGAAGUGGGGGGGUUUCCUUAUUUUUUCCUGCAAUGGGAAUUAUUCCAUGGAGCUGGAUCAUGUUCAUGCACUACAGAGGCAAAGGAGGCUUUGAAAGAUGCUUAUCCCAAGCUGGAAUUCUGUGAGAACUGGCUGGGUGUUUGGUGCUUGCUGGUUGUAGCCCCUUUCGUCUGUGCCACAGCCUCUUCCUGCAAACAGACCUGAUCCCAAAAAGAUCCCAAAUUAGAGUCUCUGGUAUUAGCAGGAGUUGCCUUCCUUUUGUGCUGGGGCUGAUUAAAAUCUCUCAUUACCUGCUAACGUCAGGACUUUAUGCAAAGCCAUUUCCUAGUAAGAAAAGUUCAGGACAACUCAGCCCUGCAGUGUCACCUGUCCAGAGGUGAGACCUUGGUCUUCCUGAGACAACCCUCAAUCCAUUUCUGGGCAGUAGGAACAGGACAGUGUCAGGACACAUGAGCUGGCAUAUUUUGCCUCUUUCUCCCGACACAGACAGCUGUUCUGGGCAGAGAAGUAAACUCUCAAGCUGCCUUAUCUUCUGCAGAGCUGACUGGUCCUGCAGCUUGGCACAGGUUCUGGUUUGACCCACGUGCUGCCUUGAAUUAAUUUUCUCUGGGCUAUGAGUGUGGUUUGUGCUGGGAAUACCCUGUCCUUGCUAGAAAAUCAGCUCCUGGGGAAAUAUGUUCUUGCUUAGGCACAUCGGAGAUGAUGGAGGGGGUGUUAUCAGCGCAACCUUUGGGGUGUGUGGUGAGUUAACCCUGGGGAUCAGCUCAGCCCCACACAGCCUCAUCUGCUUCCCCCUCGCCAGAGCAACGGGGGAAAGCAACCGAAGGGCAAAAGUGAGAAAAUCUGUGGAUUGAGAUAAAGGUAGUUCAAUAGGUACAGCAAAAGCUGCGUGCACCAGCAAAGCAAAUUAAGGAAUUCAUGCCUCCUUCCCACGGGCAGGCAGGUGUUCAGCCAUUCUGGGAAAGCCAGAACAGUCACUCCAUCCUGCAUGACUCUUAUUUGGGAAGACAGAUGUCUAACUCCUUCUUUCUCCCAGGUUUUAUUGCUGAGCACUUUGGCACCUGGUCUGGGCUGUCCCUUUGACCAGCUGGGUUCUGUGCUCUGUCCCCCCCAUUGUCCUGUGCCCCCCAGGCUGCUCAGUGCUGGGGCAGCGUGGGAAACAGAGCUGGCCUUGUGCUGUGUAAGCAACAGCUAAAACACCCCUGCCUUAUCAGCUCUGCUUUGCUCCCAGAUCCAAAACAGCCCCACAGCAGCUGCUCGAGAGAGAAGGAGCUCUGGCCUGGCCCCAGGCAGGGCAGGGGGCUCUUCUGGUUGUGCUUUGCAUGGGACUGGCCACAGCAGGUGAGGAGUGGAGGCACAGGGCAGCUCAGGAGAGGCAAAAGCUGCUCUGAGCCCAGCUGGGCACCAGAGGCACUGGGUGGACCCAGUUACUGAACACAGACCAGUUAGAGAGUAGAAACUGUGGGUUUUCCUGAACACUUUUGGGGAGUGUUUGAGAUGUGGCAUACAACCCUGAAAGGAGACUCGAUCAUCUGCUCCAUCUCCAGGCAGUUGCUGGCAGGGACCUUUAAACCCCCAGCUGGACAGCAGGGAAGAAAUCAAUCCUGCACUAGGAGCUGCUGCUUUUCACCACUUCAGGAAAGGUUCAAGCUACUGCAGCAGCUCUUCCAAGUGAGGCUGUCACUGCCUGACUGUGCCAGAGCUGUUGCAGGCUCCUUUUCAGCCCUAUGGAUCAGGAUAUCAGUUUUUUAAUCACUAAGAGCUUUUUUUCUGUGUCUCACCAUGAACUGAUGCAAUAGAUCUGUAACUGCCCCAAAGAGCUGCUGCUGUGCCUGGCUUUCUGUGCAGCCCUGGGCUCUUGAAACAAAAGGAUGGGGAGAGAAAAGAAGCUAAAACCUCUGGUUUGCUAAAGUAGCACCAGAUCAACAAUCCAGCUGCAUUUCAGCCUGGGUUGUUAUUUAGAGCCAUUUGAAUUCAGGAUUCUCUUACAGCAGCUCAAACCUGGAGUUUGACCAGCAUUCAGGUGUGGAUAUACCAAUCAGUUUGUAUUGGGCUUAACCAUGGAGAAGGUUAUACAAUAGGCUUGGUGCAGUGAAUCACUAUGAAAUUGAGGCUGUGCCUGUAAAGAUUCCGGAAUGGAAAAUUUACCACCACCGCCACACCUACUUGCAGAACUUGCACAUCACAAAGAAGUUGAAGAAAACCUUUGUGGUGGGUCGUUGUCUCAAAUGCAAAUGUAAUAGUUUAAAAGUGUCUCUUUAUUUUAACUCCUUCAAGCAAGAGAAAGCUUUGCAGCUGCCGCAGGGGAGAUGGGAGAUUGGGAGAGAAAAGCAGGGGAGAUGUGGGGCUGCCCCCUGAGCCUCCAUGGAGUGUGGGCAGUGGGACUGGGAGGCUGCGGGGACCAGCAGCCCAAAAAGGCAGAGGGUGAGUUUUAGGAAGGGUCCUAUUUUAAUCCUUAUUGUUUAAUCUGGGGAUCCCAUUUCUUGGUGGUAGGGGUGAUUCUUAUGAUCCCUUAGUGCUGUCUCCUGUGUUCUUGCAGCAAAGUGAAAUUAUUUGGGCAGGGUGAGGGUGCAAGAACUGCUCUGUGCAUAGGGAGGGUGCAGCUGGGGAACAGCAGCAGUGUUGUGUUUAUGGGGGCUGCUGAGAUUGUCUGGAGACUUAAAAUGUCAACAUGAUCAGUACUGGCUUCUUGUUUUCUUUUCCAGGCACAGUUUGAAGCUAACAUGCAUGACCCUGAGGGUGAGAAAUAGAUGGUGUUUGUCUGGACAGCCUCAUUUCUCCCCCACUGGCGGGGUUCAGGAGGGAAGCUCCUACAUACUAUUAAAUUCACAGUGAAAUUGAAACAGUUUUGAUCCUGCUUCUGCUUAAACUUAGCCCAUGCUCUGCCCACAUCAGCUAAAAGCUGUUAUGUGGGAUCUGACUUUUCCUCCACAUCCACUGAACGUGCAACCCCACCAAAGGCCAAAGACUGGGGCUGUGCACGCCCAGCCCAGGUUUUCAUUUGCUCUGCCACCCCCAGUUAAUGGGGUGCAAAAUACCAGUGCUACACAUCUCCUCAUGCACUGUUCCUUUCCCUCUAAGCCUGAAUUUUACAUUUUCCUGUUGCAUUGUUUUGCGUAGGCAGCAUCUGGUCAGGUUUCCGUUGCAUCAGUGAGUUUGCUGGUGUUGGGUUUUACUCAAACAAUGUGUUCUGCCACAAAGGAGCAGGUUGGAGCAGGUUAGAGCUGUCCAGCCUGGCCGUGCAGGAACCAGUGACGAAUAAAGCUCCAUAAAUACGUUAUUCUGC